CAGAAUUUUUCUCUUUGGAUUAUCAAACUAAUAUCAGAUAAGUUGUUAAAUCCACUUUUAUCUAUAUUUGUUAAUUAAUAUUAUUUUAUUUGUUUUUAUUAUAUUGAUUAAUAAGUCAAUAUUAUUUUGAUAACUAUGUAUUCAACUGAGAGGGAAAUUCUAAAACAACAUAUUGGAUGGAAAAAUGGUUGGGAAGAUAGGUAGGUGCCCAUUCUGUUCCUAUCUUCAGAAGUUAUUUAUACCUAUGCAAUACCUUCGCUCAGGUUAAAGAAUGGAAUACUAGUCUUGCAUCAAAUAUAUUUUACAUAUCCAUUCGAUGUUUAUCACCAGAAGUUAGUUCUACCUUUGCAGUACCUCUGCUCUACAUACCUCCUCGCUGGUUAAAGAAUGGAAUAUAAAUCUCAUAUCAAGUUGGUGUAAAAAUUUAGUUCAAUAAAUUAAGAAUUUGUAAA